AGAUCUGAAGGUGGCCUGGCUGCAACAUCUGUUACCCUAUGGAUCACCAGAGUUGAUUUGGCUGAUCUGGCAGGCUAGGUGGGCGUCCCCUUGAUCCCUCUCUGCUCCAAGUGUGUCUAGAAGCUACAUGCUAGGUUGAUGGGGACACCAUCAAGGGGAUGUGAGUUGCUGCUCUCCCAUGCCACAGUCUCCACAUGCCCUCAGAUAUGACAGCUAAAAGUUAUUAACUGAAGUAAGCAAGAUUCUAGCUUGAGAUCCUUUUUGUACUGGUCUUU
rfam:Cavia porcellus supercont2_21 genomic scaffold, whole genome shotgun sequence.